UGUUUCAAUUUCAUUUCACUUGCCUGAUGAAAUGACAAUGAUCACGUUAAGAUGUCUUUGGGGACUAGUAAAAACCCCUUUGUGCUAGUUCCUGGGCACAAGUGUCUAAAUUGGCUUUUGGAUGGCCAAAUCCAAACGGCCAAGAUCUGAAGAUAUAUUGCAAUAUAUUUCCAUGAGGAAGGAAAAUAAAGAUCAGAACAGGACACAGUUAGAAUUACAUUUCGUUGCUUUUAACAGAGAACUCAGAUAAACGACUUAAAUAAGGGAGAGAGAGAACGCGACUGGGGGAGACGGACAGAAAAGAGAGGGAGAGAGAAUCCCAAGGAGGCUUCAUACGCAGUGCGGAGCCUGACUUGGGGCUCCGUCCCACGACUCUGGGAUCAGGACCCGAGCCGGAAUCAGGAGUCCAACGGCCGUGUUCCUUCCUCUAGGGGAUCUCCCUGGUGCAAAAUAGGACACAUCUCGUACACCUUUUCGAGAACAAAUCCCUCGUGUAAUUAAUUCAGCCUGUAAUUAUCCACCAAUCUUUAGAAAUGUAAUUUGUAGUUUCCCUGCAAUACUCGUUUCGAAGCUGACUUCUGAUGUGGGCUAAAUUAUAUCGGAACCAAUUUUUACUACUUGGAGACUCAGGAUAAACCAGGCUUCACUUGUGAUUGA